rnacentral:ribozyme from 11 species
AGAAAAGAAAACGAAAAGGGGACAGAUAAAGACAGUAAUGGAAAAGUAAGUCCGAACUGGAUUCUGUCUUUCUCUUUCUCUUUCUCUCUU